GUGCUCACGUUGGCAGCACAUAUACUAAAAUUAGAAUGAUACAGAGAUUAGCAUGGCCCCUGUGCAAGGAUGACAUGCACAUUUAUGAAGCGAAAGUAAAUGAC
ensembl:snRNA U6 U6 spliceosomal RNA